rnacentral:lncRNA from 1 species
ACCAACUUGAAUAGUGGUACCAAGUAGCUAACAGGUAUGUAUGCAUAUUGGAUCUCCAUUCAAAUCCGGCCAGCUCUAUAUUGGACAACGAGAGUCCUAUAUCGAUGAUCUGAGCUAUUGAAUGUGAAACAUGUGAUUUAGAGACCCUAAGUCUAUACAUCAAGUGGUCAAAAAAUUGAAUAGUCUAAAUAACUUGAAAUUAUAUAUAUAUACAUAUAUAUUUUUAUCACUUUAUAUAUAAUCUAGGGAUCUCCAAAUUAUAUGAGUUUUAGUGUAAGUAGUUUAAAGUUAGUAGAUUACAUCCAAGGGCUUGGGCCAUCGAUAUAAGACCUCCAAUGAAUAGUGUAGACCUGACCAAAUCUGAGUAAAGUUAGUGUAAGUAGUUAAAGUUAGUAGAUUACAUCCAAGGGCUUGGGCCAUCGAUAUAAGACCUCCAAUGAAU